AAAAGAUCUUGGCAAACACUAAGGAACUGCGCAGGCAAGCAGGACGGAAGGCCACUCCCACCCGCCCCGCCCCCAUCAAAAGUGACUGAACUUUGCCAGGCAGAAAAUGGCAAAAUCGAACAAAAGCAAACCAAAUCGGCUCCUUCCGGGGGCACAGCCUGUCCAAAAGCAGCUCUUGCACUUGGGAGCCCUGUCUGGGUAAAGAGCCCCCUCUCACAAGGGGCUGGAGCACAGAAUGUUCCCACCAGCAAGGCUACGAUGCCUGUGCCAGGGAGAAAUGAAGGAGCAUCCACUCGAACCCUGCCCCUCUGGGAACCAUACUGGAGGGUCUUCUGUCGUCCCAUCCCUUUCGAAGCAGAACUCUGUCCUGCCAGUAAAGAAAAACCUGAGCUCGGGGUUGGGUGUUCCAUGAGUUUCUCCGGGUACUCUUCCUGAAGCCACAGACGCGGGACUCCAGGCCCAGGACUCCUCUCCAUCAAGGUCCCGUCCCUCCAGACAAGGUCUCGUUUCCAGACCAAGGAUACAAGUCUCAAUGUUGGCUCCCACGAUGUAGCCAUUGACAUCAAAGUUAAUGCGAAUGAAUUUGCCCUAAGGAGAGACAGAUAAAGAGAAUCAGAAGCCCGGUCCUCCAGUUUCUAGCUCCUGCGGUAUAGCCCGAAGAGGGAAAAUCAAGAGACCGUGCCCAUGUCGGAGGCCAGGGGCCCGUGCAGUGCACUGCAUGGGUACUCAGGACUCAGCGCUGUGCUGCUUAAAGCCUGGGCCAGGACAAGAUCCAGAGAUGCCCAAGUUCAUCCGCUGAGGCGCAGGAGUGCUCCUCGGUCCUCCAUCUGGCUGUUGGCUACAGCAGGACAAGGAGCGGGACCGGCAGGUAACUCCCCACUGUCCCUCCUUUCCCCCCAGUUCUCUGCCACCUGGGCUGAAGCAGCCACGUGUGCAGGUCCCCACCAGCUGGAGCUCACCCCAGCCUACUCCCCGCCACAGGCCGGGAGGCAACCAGGUCCGAAGCUGCCUCACUUUCUGAGGUGAGAGCGGCAGCUGGAGGGCAACGUGUGCCAAAGCCGUGGGUGGGAGCCUGAGCCCCGCGAGCUGGGCAUGGCCGGCCACUACUCACAAAUCGGGAGGAGUUGUCGUUCUUCACAGUCUUGGCGUUCCCGAAGGCCUCCAGGAUGGGGUUGGCCUGCAGCAGCUGUCGCUCCAACUCGCCCUGGAAAGGAACCCGGGGAUGAGGUGAAGGCCAGGCAGUGGCUCGGGUCGUCGAACCUGCUCCGCCAGGCAGGGGGGCCGGUGGCAGAGCUGUGCCUACACGCCCAGCGUGCCAGGAACAGAGGGCGUUCCGGCCACGCCAGCCGCAGCCUGGCCCCUGUGUCACUCGGGAGCGACCUUCCCGCCGGGUGUUGAACUUACGUCGCCGGACUGACCGAUCAGCACCCCCAGGAAGGGAAGGACAAGGCGAGAAGGAAUCAGCUCCAUAAAAGACACCAGCUCACUUCAUCCGUGUCCUGAUAGACACGGCACUUUCCCUGCUGGACCGUGUCCCGCCACCUACCCACCCCCACAGACGUGCUUCCAGAGUGUCCAGCGCGUGAGCCGGGGAUCAGUGAGGCCCACCACGGGUUCUAAACUGUUUAUCGACAACACCAAUAAACUCUACUUGUGGUCCCAAGCCACACAUGUGGCUGACACACCCUAAGCCUCCCUAUCCCCGGAUCCUCAGGAUAGGCAAAACAGGGUGGCCCCGAGGUCAUCAGGCAAAGCAGCCGCCAACUCGCGUCUUCUCCGACAGGUGUCAGUCACCGCCCUGUCCCCCAGCCCUGCGUGGGGCUCUACCCCGCCAGCCUAGAUCAGUUUUGGAAGCAGCCAUCACCUUCCCAGCAGGCCAGGCAGUAACGGACUCUGGCUGCGGAAAAUUCGGCCCUUAAUACCUGGGAUCUCUCUAGGGGGAAAGAACAUCACACAGGGGCCAGGCCGGCUUUUGUAUUUAUUAGCAAGGCUGGACUCCGGCCAGGAUUUUACGGGAACGGCUGCCUGUGAAUGAUGAAAAGGAAAACUGGAAGUAGCAGGAGCUCCCGGGAGAGUCGUGAGGUUCAGCCUUCCAGGCGCACCUGCUGCUGACGAGACCCGUCUGCAGAGCACUGAGCCAGGGGCUGGAAGGGGCCGGGGCAGACUCUCCUGCUCCAGCAGC